GCUUUGUCUUUUAUAUUUACAGAACAGAAGCUGUGCUUGGAAUCGUGUGAAAAUUUCAUCACAAAGGCAUGAGUGUGAUUUUUUGGAAAACAUACAUUCCUGCAUGAGGAUAAUUACUUCACAAAUUCACAGGAUAUGAACUACACUAUAAACCAAGAGCCUGAAGGUAGGCUUUCUUCAGAUUUACCAAUUAAUCGGUAUAUGAUAUCGUUAUGAUUAGAAUAAUGGACUUUCGGAGUUGGAAAGAGUCUUAAAGUCUAGAGCCACCAAUGCUACUCGGGGUCCUUUCUACUCUCAUGCUGAACACUCUGUCUGUGAAGACAAAUAACCCAUUGAGCCUGACAGGAUCAAAUCUUAAGGGCCCAAGCUAUAAGCCAACUUGGAAUAGGCUCCCACAUGGUCUUACUUCUGGACUUGAGAAGCCUGUGGAUGAGAAAGGGCCUUGUCAUUGCCAUUAUACAGAUAAGAAGUCCUUUUUUGUAUUUGACUGGGGAGAGAAAGAUCACAGAAAUAAACUGGGAAGAAAAUGGAUAAAAUUCACCCUUAAAAUGACAGCAAGUCUGGGCAACACCACUGGCUCAUUCCUGCAUUCCCCAAGCUCUCGCCACCAUGCUCUUCCUGAAAAGUACAUCUAAGAGUCUAAAAUCAUUAACUAGAUCUCAAGAUCCUUCAACACAAUGACCUUGACUCCAUCUUCAACACAACUACCCUGUCCCAGUACCAGCCAUGGCAUUUUAGCCACAUUUAGCAACUUUCACUUCCUCAGAAGAGCAAAACUCUCUCAAGGCAUCUGAGCUUUUGCAGCAGCUUCUCUACUUGGAGGGAUGCUCUCCUGUCCCCCGCCUUCCAUGAAGAAUGCAUUCUUCUGGUAGCACUCUACGUCACUGUCUUCAAAAAUCUGAGACUGGAUCAGAUGCUCCGCCCAUGUCCUCCCAAGUCCCCUUGCGGUCACCAUCCCCCCUUUCCACCACCAGCUGGACAGUAAAUUCCUUAAACUCCUGUUCCCCAUUGAUUCCCCAACCUCGAUGAUUUCUUGAAACAAUGGGGGUGGUUAAUGCACCACUGGUCCGUGGGUCAAGGAAUCAACGAAGGAAUGGAACUAAGACACCAGGGAAGCAGCAGCACAGAAACCAAAGAGCUGAGAAUGGACGUUUCAGGGUUCGGUUUUAUUAAACAUCAAAACAGGAAGAAAGAUUUUUUUUUUCCCCAAACAUAUUUGGAUGCCAAAUAAUUUUGCUCAUUGGGCAUACAGGGACAUAAAACAGCUACUGUGAGAAGCAAAUUUAAGACACAGUUAGUGAGUUAAGUCAGAAUGGAAUAAUUCUGGAAGGUAAGUAAAAUUCCCCUAUUGGACUUAUUACCUCCAAGAUCUAAGUCACUCCCUGGGGAGAAUUUGGCUCUGAUAGAAGAAUGCUAACUUUUUUUCACCAGAGCAGAGUCUAAUCAAGUGUGUAAAUGCGGCAAUACACCAAAUGGCAGCAGAGAAUUAAUGUUUCUCUUGUGGGUUCCUGAAGUGUCUUACCACCAGGAAGUAAUACAGGCACCGAACAGAACAGGGAUCAUUAGAAACACGUGUGCAAAACUUAGGACAAGAAAUACCCUUGCUUUAUGUGAACGUAAGAAUGUGAUGUCUUUCUCUCUCUCUUUUUUGCCUUUGGAAUAGAGACUUCGAUAAAUACCUUCCAGACAUGCACAGAGCUCAAAGUGAAAAAAAAAAAAAAAAAAUAAUGUCAGGUUACAGUUCCUUUGGUUGUUUAUUGUUGGGUUCAGACACUAUGUGAAUAAUGCUAUCUUAGAUAUUCUGGUUAGUUAAUUCCUCUCUUGCUUAAAAAAAAAAAAAGCCAUACCUACCCACAAAAGUGAAAACUGACAACCACUAUUCUAAGCAAAAUCCUGGUGAAGUGGUAAAUGGGGAAAUCACAGGAAAUACUGGGGAAGGAACUUGACUUUUCAGCACAUAUUGCUUUUUUUUUUUUCACCAUGAAGUCAGAAGCAGCUAACAAACAAGAGGAGUGUCUUGAAAAGGAUCUGCCUCAGGACAGCCACUCUCGGGAAGGCUGGUGUGUGAACCCUCAGGGUCUUUCAUUUUCUGUGAUCAGAGAGCCACAGACUCUCCAAGCCACAGUCACAGACUCCCAGUCCGAAUUCCUCUUCGCGCACAGAAUGAUCACCAAUUACAGUGAGACUUCGGAAGUCCUGUGUACCUGCUCAUCAAACUUCAUUUUGGCAAUUUUUUUUUUAACCGUUAGUAAAACGAACACACACACACACACAUACACAAUUAAAUCGUAUAGGAAAAGGCUUCGACCUCUGCCAAAUUUCAGCUGGGAACAAAUUUUUACGGCCAGCUAAUCAACCUGCUGAAAACAGGGGUGGAUAAUGGAAACCCUCCCGAGCCCUUAACUACAGUGUGCACGGCUAUAAUAAAAAGAAUUAAUGCAGUCAAUUUGUACUACUGUUCUCAGAACAAAAAACCCCAUUUCAACCACAGUCUUUUCAACAGCUGAUUGGCAGCCCUGUCCAUUUCCCCUCUGCAGUGUUGUCAGGAGUCUUCAACAUGAUAAUGAGCCUGUCACCAUAUUCAAAUAGCCCUGUGACAGCAAGUUUUGUGAGUGUGACGUCCACUGCAAAGGGUCUGUCAAAAAGCACCUUUCAGAAAAUGAAAAGAGAAUGCUUUCCUGAUGAUAAACCUAAUUUCUCCGCAGAUAAAAGAGUGAGAUUUUUCACCAGAUUUUGUCAGGGUUGUGUUGUGUUGCAUUUAUCUCUUCAAAUGUUCCUGUUUUCUUAAAAAAAUAAAUAAAUUUAGAUUUGUCAGUGACGGGGAAAAAAAAAAUGAUGAUGAAACACAACUUCUGUUCUGGGAAGCUGAAUCCAUCAGGGUAACCACAGAGAGGAAAGGGAGAGAAGGAAGAGAAAAACCAAACCAGACCAAAAUAAAACAGAUGCUUUCUCUGAAACAUUAAAAACUGGCAAGAAGAGUGGGAGGCUAACUUCUUCCUAGUCACCUAAUACACUUUCAAGUUCUGCUGGUUUCAUUCAUUGAGGCCAACUGCUCCCCCAACAACACCCACGGGAAAUUGCUCUGUCCCACGUCUGUCUCCCUAGAGUCACUUCCCCAGAGUAGAGAGAAGGUUCCUACUUCAGUGUGUGAGGGCUGGUCCAUGGUGUUGGCUGGCUGAAUGCUGGGAAACGGAGCGUUCAUCACAUCUGAACACACUGAAGAACUUGGCUAAGGCUGUGAAAAAGUACUCGUGUUGAGGGACAACAGCAAUCUUUCCUCGGGUAUGAAGAAUGCUCUUACAAAAAGCCCAGGUCCUCUGGAGCGGGGUCUGACUUUCCGCUCUUUCAGCCCCACCCCCAACAUAGACCAAAGCUCAGCGUGUUCAGCAUUGAGAGAAAACCCUUUGGGAUUUUCCCGUGCCCGCUGAGGUCUACGGCAUCAUCAGCCAACAGGGACCUGCUGUGGAGCACAGGGCACUCUCCCCAGUGUGCUGUGAUCAUCCGUCUGGGAAAAGAAUCUGAAACAGAAUGGAUUUAGGUGGACCUGCAACUGAAUCGCUUUCUUGCACAGCAGAAAUGAUCACGGCAUUGUAGGUCAGCUCUGCUUCAACAGGACUUGUUUAAAAACUGAAAGACUGAAAAAGAAGACCAAACUCUAAGUUAGGUAUUUUCUCGGAAGGGAUUAUGUAUAUGCAUGUGUGUGUAUGUAGGCAUGUUUAUGUGUACGUAAAAAUGCACACUCCUACCCAUCCACCAGGUAUGUAUAUUAAGCAUAUAUACACAUAUGUAUGUACAUUACAUGUGUACAAAAUACAUAUACCAUAUGUAUGUACCAGGUAUGCAUAUAUAACACACAUAUACAUUUACGAUAUACACACACAAAAUGCACAUACGUGCACAUGCACAUAUAUACACAUGAAGUAGAAAGAAUGUCAGGCUGUUCCUCCUGAAUGUUAGAAAUGUUUCAGAUUUUAAUAACAUUCACACAUGUGUACUCAGAAAAUCCAGACAGCCUCCUGGCUUUGAGAGAGGAAGAGGCAGAAAGAGGACCUGGAUAUGAGAAGCCAGGGGACAAGAAGCCAGCAGAGAACUGUCAUUCUCUCACUCCCCAGGUGCCCGGAAUGCCACCUUUAGCAAAUAAACGCAUGCAGGAGGUCCCUAAGGCUUCAAAGAAAGAAAACCCAGGUAGGAACGGAAAUCCAAUGCCUCCUUUAUCUCAGGCUCUGUGACAGUAAAAGAACCUGAUAUUUUAGAAAAUACAGACUCUGUCCAGUAUGCUACCAGAGUCUGACGCAUGCAUUCUCCUCUACCGAACUCUAUCCAAACAUUUUAAAAAGCUAUCACUACACGUAUAUAACCACAUGUACCACUUCUCUGAUUAUCACUGAAUUCUCACUGUCCCAUUUUUAAAGCAAGGUUUCCUUUCAAUCCUCUGAUCUCAUGGCAACUGAUGUAUGGACAUGUGAGGACAGCAUGUGUGAAAUCCUUUCGCUUGCUAUUCAAAAGCAGGGGACUCACUGGAAUGCCCAUUCUCUCCAUUUCAAAUGAAUACAGUCUAAGUUAGGUCUCAAUUUGGCUGUGAUCUGACGAUUCCAGAAGGGCCUAUUAAUUAAGGAAGCCGAUAAUUUCAUGUUUUUAUAUGUAUCAUAUAUAUAAAGCUGACAGGAAGAGAAAAUGUUCUGAAUUAAAAGUAAAUACGUUUUGGUGUGUGUGUGUUGGUAGGGAUGGAAGCUUAACCUUUGCAAAAGAGGUUAUUCUGAACAUACCAGAACAAUCAAACUUAAAAAUACAAAGAAGGGGUUUUGUUUAAAAAAAAAAAAAAAAA
ensembl:lncRNA